CAGGGCCCAAGAACUAGAAUUAGAAGAUCAUCAAAGCAGACUGGAGCAGAAAUUAAGAGAGAAAAUGCUCAAGGAGGAGAGCCAGAAAGAUGAGAAAGAUCUAAAUGAGGAGAAAGAAAUAUUCAACGAGAUGAUGCAAGUGAUUGAGCAGAGGGACAGACUUGUGAAUUCCUUAGAGGAACAACGCAUAAAAGAAAAGGCUGAAGACCAGCACUUUGAAAGCUUCAUAUUAAGGGGCUAUUAGCUGAGCAGGACGUGAACAGGCCCAGGGGCCCCUCUGCCUUGAAGCAAGCUGAAGACUGAAUCCAGCCAAGCCCACCUCACACACUCCUAGCUCCUUUUGCAGGAUUUGUCAUACCCGCAACUUCAGUGACACCCGGCUGCAAUAUGUUUUUAAAAAUUAAAAAUCUGUCAUCUCUGCUACAGCUUACCUAGAUCCGUCCAGAGAUGAUAAUGAAGAAAAUACAAAGAUGCUUUUGAAAUUGACAAUCGAAUUCAGCCGGUCUCUCUGAUUGGAGAUGGCUUGGCAGGUGACCAGCAUUGUUUUCCCCAGAAAGUGACCCGGAGAUUGACUUUCCUGCUGCUUUUAUCAUUUGUCUUCCCAAUUCAUUGAGUUACACGUCUUAAGAUUUGAAAGAAGCUGCCUUUUUGUUAAUAUAUCCAUAUUUGCCUUUUUUUGCAUGGAUGACUGGUUUCCAAAUGUCAGAAGGUAGCAGCAGCAGUUUAAAUAUUAAGUUAAUAUUUAAAUUGUGUUUCCAGAGAAAGGGGAGAAACCUUGAGAUUACUCAUGACAGAAAGCAAAUAACUCAUAUAGCAGGUGUUAAUUCAAUCCACGGUGAAUUUAAUUUACCAGGUGUAUUGAUAAGCCUUAAUAUAAUAUACAUAUGCAAUGAGAGUUUAAUAGAACAUUUGAGCCUUAAUUUUAUUUUUAAAAAAGGAAAUAAAACCUUAACCCCAUAUAUCAGCAAGACUGUUAGUUUUCACCAAAUAGUGUUGGCUCAGAAACACUUUUUAUUCUCAGAGCACUGCUCCUUUGGCCCCUGGAACAUACUGAAAAUCAUUUUUAGAAGAUGAAUAAUUUUGAAGUGCUUAUUUAUAACUGUUGGUAAUGGCAAAAAGGGAAACUCAUCUGUUGAUAAAAUAUGGGCAAGGUUGGUGCUGCUACUAAAAACACACUAGUGGCCCAAGGCAAGUCUCCAUCCCCAUAGUGGUCUUUUUAGGUCCAAACAGAGAGGUGUCUCUCAGACUUCCUGCAGGAGUUGCCCAGGAACUGCACAGGACAAGGACAAAACCACUUCUGACUUCAAGGUCAAAAGCUGAGUGCAGUGACCCCAUUUACCAAAUCCUAGAUUGGGUCAUGGAUUUGUUUUAUGACAUUUUUCAACGUGCAAAGAAAGCUGGGAGAUGGAGUUUGUGCACUGACAUGGGACUCCUGGCACAUUUGGAUGGUUCAUAUGGAAUCAAAGGAAAGAUUUCAAAAUGAUGACCUGUUGUUAUAAAUUAUUUGAUUGUUUUCCCUCAAUGGGAUUCUUUGAAGAUUCGGCCUGUCGUUGACCAGAGACAGACUGAAGAACUCCUUUGUUGUGUGUUUGGCCUAUCUCAUUUCUGCAAGUGUUUAAAUGUGUCAGUGGACAAAAGGUGCUUUGCAACAGUUGGCUGUGACUGGACACCUAACUUUCCUCAACAUAAGUUGACCCAUGAGCCAUUUCUUUCUUAGAUGCUGUCUGUGUACCCCGAACUGGCCAGCUAACAAGCCGACAAUUAGCAGUGUAACUGGGUUCCUGGAGUCAGCCAAUGUUUUGAGUGGUAUUAAAAUGCAUCCUUCCCAUGGCA